rnacentral:lncRNA from 1 species
UGUAAAAACACAGUAACUUUCACUGAUUAAAUGGGAGAAACAAAAGAACAAAACAAAAUGAAAAUACAUUUUUUUACUUCUUACUGAAUCGCUAAACAAGAUUCAUGGAUCCUAAGCGAAAAAAGUUGUUUCUGUCUCGCUGAAUGAGAGAUAGUGUCGCUGAGCGAGAUAAACUCUAAUUGAGUGAUAACAUAUCCACACCAUAAUUAAAUUUAAAGUCAAUCGUCCUAAAUCCAGCUACAACCUUGUGUUAAUGAAGAAAAAAAAAAAAACUUAAAGCAUGUUGUAUUAGAAAUUUAUAAUUUAUAAUUAAGGUGAACUGUGAAGAAGAUUUUGCUCCUGACCUUAGUACGGUUUUGAUGAAGACACCAACAUCACCAAAAAGAAGAAAAGGAAGAUGACUUAUGAAGA